UUAGCUUAUACAAUUAUAAAGAAAACCAGCUUUAUAUUAAAGAACUACAAAAUUUGUAAAGGUUUAAACUAAUAAAGGAGAUUA